rnacentral:rRNA from 1 species
AUACGGAGGAUGCAAGCGUUAUCCGGAUUUAUUGGGUUUAAAGGGUGCGCAGGCUGACCGGUAAGUCAGGGGUGAAACUUUACAGCUUAACUGCAAACGUGCCUUUGAUACUGCCGGACUAGAGUUUAAGAGACGUAAUUGGAAUGUGAUGUGUAGCGGUGAAAUGCUUAGAUAUGUCACAGAACGCCGAUCGUGAAGACAGAUUACGAACUUAAUACUGACGCUCAUGCACGAAAGCGUGGGGAUC